rnacentral:pre_miRNA from 1 species
AGAUAUGUUUGAUAUUCUUGGUUGUGUCAAUUUGUUCAACCAAGAAUCAGACAUAUAUGG